GCAGGAAUUCUGGCAGCAGAAACCCAAGUCCUGAGCAACUGGAGGUUGAUGGAAGCUGCAAAUCGGGAGAGUCAGCUAAGCUCGGUUCAUUUUCUCUCCUUUCUGAGUUGGCCAAAGAGGCAAAGGCCCUCUUCUAGCAGAUGGACGUUCUAGAUCAGAAACUGACUUCUUGUCCACAGGGAAGAAGCAGAUAGAGCGAGAUCUCACAGCCCUCUGAAAUCUGCCUGGAAGCUGAAGAUGUCUGUACUCCAGCAGCCUCCUUCAGAGGGAGGGGCCCCCAGGCAACUAACUUCCUGUGCUGCCUUUUAGAAGCUGCUCUGCCCUGUCUGACCUCAGGCUUGGCAGAGGAGAGAACUCACCCCACACAGUCUCCUCCUGGGUUCUAAGAGCCAGGUGGGGGAUAAGAAGGCCAUGGUUAGCCACCCAGACACUGUCCUAUCAAUGUCUUGGCAAGUAGCUGUCUGGAAACCCCAGAAUGACUGCUUCCUCUCCUGACCGCAUCCUGCAAGCUGGGGCAGGUGCCAGCAGCUACUGCCUGGAGGCUACUGAAACUAUGGCUAGAACUCUUGAUGUCCAGGCUGGGCUCCAGCAGGGUGGGUAGCUCCCUGAACUGCAUAGGACUGACUUAGGAGGCCAAGUUAGGAGGUGGAGUGAACUGAAAACGGGCCCAGGACACUGAGUCUAAAGAGCACGGAAGACAAGACAAGUCAUGGAGUCAUACCCCAUACUUGCAUGAGACAGGCCACUCCCCCAGGACACACCAGCACUCUCUGGUCAUCUGUUCUGGUUUGGUUUUUAGGGUUUUCUGAGUUCUCUCCAGGGCUCCCACCAUCUUUCUUCUCGUUCAUGUCCUUCAUGCACCUUUUCUGUUUCCAUCUUUCCCUCCCUCUCCAGGCCUUGUGGCCCUCUGAGCUUCCGGGGACUUGAGAGGCCACAGACAGGUGUCCUCGGGGCUCCGGGUGGAUCAUUGAUCCCUGACAUGCUUCCUUCUGUCCCUACUUAAGUUCAUUCACCUAGAUGAGACCAUUAUAGGGUGGUAAUUGCCACUAGUCCUUGUCACAAUUGGUCUGGAUCCGUGGUCUUCUGUGUGAUGGGGAGAGGGCUGAGGAGGCGUCCCUCGGCCUGGCCUGCGACGCUUCCUCUUUUCCUAUGGCUUGGAUCACUUCUCUCAGAAGAGCAAAACCUGACCCCUCUCUCACUAUGAGCCCAAGCUCCCUCCUAACUUCCAGCCCCUUGAGGACCACCAAGCCCUAUGGCUCUUAUCGUCCUACCAUUUCUGGAAGCCUAAAGAUGAUUUGAAACUUUAAGGACAGUGUUCUCUUUGCACACAGCACCUGGUUAAAUGCGUCUACAGAGACACCUCAUGCAGGAAUCUUCAAGACUUGACCACCACAGUUCUUGGUACCUGGUGUCACUCUGAUGAAGGCCCCAGGACCAAACAUAGGAUGAUAUAGAGAAACUGCCAGAAGGAUUGAAAUGUAGCUUGUACCCCACCAAACUGAGCAGUUGCCAGGGAAGAUAGAAUUGAAUCUGAAGGGUUUAAAGAAACUCACCAGAAAAUUUAAAGACAAGCAGCAGAAUGAGCCCAAUCAAAGCAAAACCUAGAGGAAGGUGAAGAAGUGGCUACUGUAUCGGGCUCCCUAGCUACCCUGAAGACUUGAGAGCAUCCGUGCUGCACAUUCACCAGUCCACCAGCGAUGCUGUGAAGCAAUGCGUGAGGAACAUGAACAUACACGAAUCAUACACACUAUCUGGGCAAAGCAGAGAGACUUAAACACUUCCUAACAUCACCCAGAAAGGUAUUCAAACAACAUUUAAUAUUAAAAAAUACUUCUUAUAAGUAAAUACU